CAGGGAAUCUCAUCACCCAUCUGUCCUAGUAACUCUUAUCGAUCGUUGCGUCACUGAAGGAAAUGUCUCUCCGUGGGACUGUCGCGCUCCUGCUGUUCCUCGCGUGUCUUUCACAGCUCACCUUAGCUGCUGACAGCAUUAGAGGAGCGAGGAGGAAAGGACGGAGGCUGGAGAGCCGAGGUGGUAAGAACAUGUCCGUACACAAAGGAUUGUUUAAAACCAAGAGCAAGGCGCAGUGCUUGUGGGUGGCGCGCGGAGAGGACAACUACACCAUGACUGUUACAUGUAAGCGUGGAGACGAGGAUGGAUUCAGCUGUAAAUACACUGCCAAGCCCGCGACGUGCACCGAAUAUGGGUCUAAUCCCUUGGGCUAUUGGAAACAGAUCGCUAAAUCAGUUAGAAGGCAGAAGAAACUUUGCGCGGAUCCGCGCGCACUGAUCCGCGCCGGUAUGUGCAAGCGUGCGCCGCUGGACGCGCAUUUCAAACUCAUCGAAACGUCACAAGAGAAACCCCCCACAGAGAAAACACCGACAACCACGAACACAACGCGCCGGUGCACGGAGCGCACUGACCACAGCGAGGUCGCCAAAGAGAUGUGCGGGGAUUCCUGGGCGAGUCUCUGCGCGUUUGUCUUUACUAUAAUCCAGAGCGGAGACUGCUGAGCACGUGUAUCAUAAACGUUUCUCGGUACUUUUGUUAUUGGAUACUACUGAUAGUUCUGUUUAAGGUGUAAAACAUCACGUAUUUUAUUGUAAACACAGAAAAAUGCACUGUUCUCAUUCUGACAUUUGGGAAGGUGGAUCAAGAUGCCAAGAUGGAGUAUUCGUUCCCACCACUUUAGUAGUAGUUUUUGCCUUGACCAUAGUGGCACAAAAUUUAAUCUUAAGACAUUUAUUCAAUGCGUAUACAGUUUUUAAUGUUGGCAUUUCAUUGGAGAAUAGUGAGAUGUCUAUUUAUAUUAUGUUGGAUAUUAAAACUUUUUAUUUAUAUUUAUUAAAAGGGCAUUUGAGGGAUUUAGGCAAAGUAAAUAUGAUGUUUUUACUUUGAAGUGAAAAGUUUCAGUAGACCCUUAGGGUACGAUGACCCCCUCAGGGACUGAAGGACCCCAGUGGCUUUUUGUUGUUAGUAUAAAUUUCAUGAUUAUCAUAAAUCAGUUGUUUUAUAUAUAAUUCAAUGAGUUUGAUUUUAACAAGGGGCAAGAUAGGCCCUUUAAAUCAUUUUCAAUUUUGUGCUUUAACAGCUAAAUUAUUUCUCAUAAUAAUAAUAAUAAUAAAUUGGAUGAUGCUUCAUCCUCACUAUCAUCUUCAUAAUCAUCUCGUUUUCAUAUCCAUGUUAAACGUUUUCAGCAAAUGUACAUUAUUUUCUUCAGUCUACUAUAAAAUACAUGACACCUAUUGUAUUGCAUU